rnacentral:snoRNA from 1 species
UUCCACUGUUAAGUCAAGGCGCCUUCCAGCAUUUUUAUGCGUAUCCGUGGAUGGCUUGUCUGUUACAACUUUGGUAGAUUAAUCCUCAGCUCGCCGCUUGCCAGCUUUCUGUUGGCAAGUUGAUAUAUCUCCGUAUUGGAGAUUAUCGAAUAGAGCUGAGGGAUGUCUCUAGCAUUCUCAGGGAAACAUCACUGCU